AAAAUGCGAUAAGCAAUGCGAAUUGCAGAAUUCCGCGACUCAUCAGAUCCUUGAAUGCAAAUGGCGCUGAGUGGGGUAAACUCCCCUCGGCAUGUCUGUUUCAGUGUCUGAAAACAUCCUAAAAAGAUAUAAAUUUUGGCAGUGAUUCUUGUAAUGUGCUACCGAAAAUCUUAUCUAACUCAAUGUGCUUGACUUUGAGGCUAAUUUUGCUUCAUGAAAUGGUCUUACUUCAUUGUCUUGCAUGAAUUUAUGUGUGUUGAGGAUCUUUGGAUCCAUCGAAUUGGUCAUCGAUCUAACUCGAUGAUUUCGAUGUGAAAAAAAAUUUAUCCAAUUAUCCGUAUUGAAAAACAUAGAAUGUUCAUCAUGAACUAAAAGAAAACUCAAUCAUCUUUGCAUCUGAAAUCAGGCAAGAACACCCGCUGAACUUAA
rnacentral:misc_RNA from 1 species